UACAGAGGGGGCAAGCGUUGUUCGGAAUUAUUGGGCGUAAAGAGCUCGUAGGCGGUGUGUCACGUCGGCCGUGAAAACCUGCAGCUUAACUGUGGGCGUGCGGUCGAUACGGGCAUCACUGGAGUUCGGCAGGGGAAACUGGAAUUCCUGGUGGAGCGGUGAAAUGCGCAGAUAUCAGGAGGAACACCGGCGGCGAAGGCGGGUCUCUGGGCCGAUACUGACGCUGAGGAGCGAAAGCGUGGGGAGCAAACAGG
rnacentral:rRNA from 1 species